rnacentral:rRNA from 1 species
UACAGAGGGUGCGAGCGUUAAUCGGAAUUACUGGGCGUAAAGCGCACGUAGGCGGCUUGGUAUGUCGGGUGUGAAAUCCCCGGGCUCAACCUGGGAACUGCAUCCGAAACUGCCUUGCUAGAGUAUGGGAGAGGGAAGUGGAAUUUCCGGUGUAGCGGUGAAAUGCGUAGAUAUCGGAAGGAACGCCGGUGGCGAAAGCGACAGACUGGACCUCUUCUAACGCUGAGGCGCGAAAGCUAGGGGAGCAAACGGG